UACGGAGGGGGCUAGCGUUGUUCGGAAUUACUGGGCGUAAAGGGCGCGUAGGCGGCCUGUUGCGUCAGGUGUGAAAGCCCCGGGCUCAACCUGGGAUGUGCACUUGAUACGGGCGGGCUGGAAUCCGGGAGAGGAUGGUGGAAUUCCCAGUGUAGAGGUGAAAUUCGUAGAUAUUGGGAGGAACACCGGUGGCGAAGGCGGCCAACUGGGCUGCAACUGACGCUGAGGCGCGAAAGCGUGGGGAGCAAACAGG
rnacentral:rRNA from 1 species